rnacentral:misc_RNA from 1 species
GAUGAAGAACGUAGCGAAAUGCGAUAAGUAGUGUGAAUUGCAGAAUUCAGUGAAUCAUCGAAUCUUUGAACGCACAUUGCGCCCCUUGGUAUUCCAUGGGGCAUGCCUGUUCGAGCGUCAUUUGUACCUUCAAGCUCUGCUUUGUGUUGGGUGUUUGUCUCGCCUCUGCGUGUAGACUCGCCUCAAAACAAUUGGCAGCCGGCGUAUUGAUUUCGGAGCGCAGUACAUCUCGCGCUUUGCACUCAUAACGACGACGUCCAAAAGUACAUUUUUACACUCUUGACCUCGGAUCAGGUAGGGAUACCCGCUGAACUUAAGCAUAUCAAUAAGCGGAGGA